UACGUAGGGGGCUAGCGUUGUCCGGAAUCAUUGGGCGUAAAGAGCGUGUAGGCGGCCCGGUAAGUCCGCUGUGAAAGUCGGGGGCUCAACCCUCGAAUGCCGGUGGAUACUGUCGGGCUAGAGUCCGGAAGAGGCGAGUGGAAUUCCUGGUGUAGCGGUGGAAUGCGCAGAUAUCAGGAGGAACACCAAUAGCGAAGGCAGCUCGCUGGGACGGUACUGACGCUAAGGCGCGAAAGCGUGGGGAGCGAACAGG
rnacentral:rRNA from 1 species